CGAAGGAUGCAAGCGUUAUCCGGAUUCAUUGGGUUUAAAGGGAGCGUAGGUGGCUUUGUAAGUCAGUGGUGAAAUCUUCUCGCUUAACGAGAAAACUGCCAUUGAUACUGCAGAGCUUGAGUACAGUUGCCGUUGGCGGAAUAUGACAUGUAGUGGUGAAAUACAUAGAGGUGUCAUAGAACACCGAUUGCGAAGGCAGCUAACGAAACUGUAACUGACACUGAGGCUCGAAAGUGCGGGGAUCAAACAGGAUUAGAUACCCUGGUAGUCCGCACUGUAAACGAUGAUUACUCGCUGCUGGAGGGCAACUUUCAGUGGCUUAGCGAAAGCGAUAAGUAAUCCACCUGGGGAGUACGCCGGCAACGGUG
rnacentral:rRNA from 1 species